rnacentral:rRNA from 1 species
ACGGGUGAGUAACACGUGAGUAACCUGCCCUUGACUCUGGGAUAAGCCUGGGAAACUGGGUCUAAUACCGGAUAUGACCUUCCAUCGCAUGGUGGUUGGUGGAAAGCUUUUGUGGUUUUGGAUGGACUCGCGGCCUAUCAGCUUGUUGGUGGGGUAAUGGCCUACCAAGGCGACGACGGGUAGCCGGCCUGAGAGGGUGACCGGCCACACUGGGACUGAGACACGGCCCAGACUCCUACGGGAGGCAGCAGUGGGGAAUAUUGCACAAUGGGCGCAAGCCUGAUGCAGCGACGCCGCGUGAGGGAUGACGGCCUUCGGGUUGUAAACCUCUUUCAGUAGGGAAGAAGCCGUAAGGUGACGGUACCUGCAGAAGAAGCGCCGGCUAACUACGUGCCAGCAGCCGCGGUAAUACGUAGGGCGCAAGUGUUAUCCGGAAUUAUUGGGCGUAAAGAGCUCGUAGGCGGUUUGUCGCGUCUGCCGUGAAAGUCCGGGGCUCAACUCCGGAUCUGCGGUGGGUACGGGCAGACUAGAGUGAUGUAGGGGAGACUGGAAUUCCUGGUGUAGCGGUGAAAUGCGCAGA